GACGACGACUCCUACGGGAGGCAGCAGUGGGGAAUAUUGCACAAUGGGCGCAAGCCUGAUGGAGCAACACCGCGUGAGUGAAGAAGGGUUUCGGCUCGUAAAGCUCUGUUGUUAAAGAAGAACACGUAUGAGAGUAACUGUUCAUACGUUGACGGUAUUUAACCAGAAAGUCACGGCUAACUACGUGCCAGCAGCCGCGGUAAUACGUAGGUGGCAAGCGUUAUCCGGAUUUAUUGGGGCGUAAAGAGAGUGCAGGCGGUUUUCUAAGUCUGAUGUGAAAGCCUUCGGCUUAACCGGAGAAGUGCAUCGGAAACUGGAUAACUUGAGUGCAGAAGAGGGUAGUGGAACUCCAUGUGUAGCGGUGGAAUGCGUAGAUAUAUGGAAGAACACCAGUGGCGAAGGCGGCUACCUGGUCUGCAACUGACGCUGAGACUCGAAAGCAUGGGUACGCGAACAGGAUUAGAUACCCUGGUAG
rnacentral:rRNA from 1 species